rnacentral:rRNA from 1 species
GAUGAACGCUGGCGGCGUGCUUAACACAUGCAAGUCGAACGUGAGGGUGUAGCAAUAUGCCUGAAAGUGGCGAACGGGUGAGUAACACGUGGAUAACCUGCCCUGGAGUGGGGGAUAACCAUUGGAAACGGUGGCUAAUACCGCAUAGAGCUAUUGAUUUGGGAGAAUCGAUAGGGAAAGCUCCGGCGCUCUGGGAGGGGUCUGCGUCCGAUUAGCUAGUUGGUGAGGUAAAGGCUCACCAAGGCGACGAUCGGUAGCUGGUCUGAGAGGACGAUCAGCCACACGGGAACUGAGACACGGUCCCGACUCCUACGGGGGGCAGCAGUGAGGAAUAUUGGGCAAUGGGCGAGAGCCUGACCCAGCAACGCCGCGUGGAGGAAGACGGCCUUCGGGUUGUAAACUCCUUUUGACGGGGAAGAGAGAGGACGGUACCCGUCGAAUAAGUCACGGCUAACUACGUG